UACGGAGGAUGCGAGCGUUAUCCGGAUUUAUUGGGUUUAAAGGGUGCGCAGGCGGCACGGCAAGCCGGCGGUCAAAUCGCGGGGCUCAACCCCGCCCAGCCGUCGGAACUGCCGGGCUAGAGUGGGCGAGAAGUGCGCGGAAUGCGUGGUGUAGCGGUGAAAUGCAUAGAUAUCACGCUGAACUCCGAUUGCGAAGGCAGCUUACCAAUCUAUAUCUGACGUUGAGGCACGAAAGCGUGGGGAGCAAACAGG
rnacentral:rRNA from 1 species